rnacentral:rRNA from 1 species
GACGAACCGUGGCGAACGUUGUUCGGAUUCACUGGGCUUAAAGGGCGCGUAGGCGGGCCGUCAAGUCAGGGGUGAAAGCCCCCAGCUCAACUGGGGAAGUGCCUCUGAGACUGACGGUCUCGAGGGGGAUAGGGGCAUGCGGAACUCUCGGUGGAGCGGUGAAAUGCGUAGAUAUCGGGAGGAACGCCGGUGGCGAAAGCGGCAUGCUGGAUCCCUUCUGACGCUGAGGCGCGAAAGCCAGGGGAGCGAACGGG